AAGUCGUAACAAGGUUUCCGUAGGUGAACCUGCGAGGAUCAUUAACACGUAUCCAACGUUAAACCCCCCUGUGAACCUUCAUUGUGCUCCCCCAUUCCGUUAGGACGCGGCAAUCCCUGGUAAAUCAUCGCCGAAAAGUUUCGAUUCAGGGACCUCUGCAUUGAGUGGGCAGCGCGAGGCAAGUGCGCGCCGACACGGCCGGCGACCGGGUCCAACUGUUAACAAUGGAUAUCAUGGUUCUC
rnacentral:misc_RNA from 1 species